rnacentral:tmRNA from 1 species
GUUGGCUUGCCAACUACGACGAUAAACGAAUUUCGUAAUAACCAUUACGGACGUGGGGGCAGUACCCACCACCUCCACCAUUUACAACUUACGGGGGUGAAAUAGGAUCGACGGGUGACUAAAGGCUAUUCUUUCGUUCGGGAUUGUUCCACCGUAACGGGCUAAACUUUAAAUGCUGACGAA